GUGGGGAAUAUUGGACAAUGGGCGAAAGCCUGAUCCAGCCAUGCCGCGUGUGUGAAGAAGGUCUUCGGAUUGUAAAGCACUUUAAGUUGGGAGGAAGGGCAGUAAGUUAAUACCUUGCUGUUUUGACGGUACUGUACGAAUAAGUCCCGGCUAACUACGUGCCAGCAGCCGCGGUAAUACGUAGGGGACGAGCGUUGUCCGGAAUUACUGGGCGUAAAGGGCGCGCAGGCUGUGCUGCAAGUCAGCUGUGAAAUGUCUGGGCUUAACCCGGGCAUGCGGUUGAGACUGCAGUGCUGGAGUGCUGUAGAGGCAAGUGGAAUUCCCAGUGUAGCGGUGAAAUGCGUAGAUAUUGGGAAGAACACCGGUGGCGAAGGCGACUUGCUGGGCAGCAACUGACGCUGAGGCGCGAAAGCCAGGGGAGCAAACGGGAUUAGAUACCCCUGUAGUCC
rnacentral:rRNA from 1 species